UGCCAGCAGCCGCGGUAAUACGAAGGGUGCUAGCGUUGUUCGGAAUUACUGGGCGUAAAGAGCAUGUAGGCGGAUGAAUUAGUCAGAGGUGAAAGCCCCGAGCUCAACUUGGGAACUGCCUUUGAUACUGUUUAUCUAGAGUCCGAGAGAGGUUAGUGGAAUUCCCAGUGUAGAGGUGAAAUUCGUAGAUAUUGGGAAGAACACCAGUGGCGAAGGCGGCUAACUGGCUCGGUACUGACGCUGAGAUGGGGAGGGGUGGGGGGCAGAGAGGAUUAGAUG
rnacentral:rRNA from 1 species